rnacentral:rRNA from 1 species
UGGGGGAUAUUGCACAAUGGAGGAAACUCUGAUGCAGCAACGCCGCGUGAGGGAAGAAGGUUUUCGGAUUGUAAACCUCUGUUUUUAGUGAAGAAACAAAUGACGGUAGCUAAAGAGGAAGCCACGGCUAACUACGUGCCAGCAGCCGCGGUAAUACGUAGGUGGCAAGCGUUGUCCGGAAUUACUGGGUGUAAAGGGUGCGCAGGCGGGACUGCAAGUUGGAUGUGAAAUACCGGGGCUUAACCCCGGGGCUGGCAUCCAAAACUGUGGUUCUUGAGUGGAGUAGAGGUAAGCGGAAUUCCGAGUGUAGCGGUGAAAUGCGUAGAUAUUCGGAGGAACACCAGUGGCGAAGGCGGCUUACUGGGCUCUAACUGACGCUGAGGCACGAAAGCAUGGGUAGCAAACAGGAUUAGAUACC